CCCUAUGUACGUAUGCUGUGUCAGAAACAGCUGAUCAUAUGAGCAGAGCGGGAGACUCAUUGCAGCACCAGAAUAAGCCGCGAGGCAAUCAAACGCAGCAACGCCAUGACAGCACCUGGACCAGUGAGGGAUCGUGAUUUUGUUCAUGGGAAUAGAAAAUGAACAGCCCGGAACGACUAACCCUCCCCACCGAAUGGUCCCUGCAGCAUAGAUGGCCGAAGAUGGACGGCCCGGACCAGCUCACCCUUCCUUCCCACCGAGAAAGCAAUAACUGGGGAGGCGAGUAGAAAACAAAAGGGGGGUCUGGAUGAUGACGAAGGGAUUGACAGGCGGUGAUGAUGAAGGGGGGGAUGAUGACGAGGGGGGUGUUAAUGACUGUGGUCUGGAUGAUGCCAUGUAUUUCCCCCCGAUGAUGUAUUUCCCACCCUAGGCUUAUAGUAGAGUCAAUUAGGGGCCUCGGCUUAAAUUCGGAAUGGCUAACACUAGAGUAUAUACUGUGUGAUUUUUUUUUUUUUUCUAAAAGUAUGACAAAAUCAAACCUUUAUUAGUGGGGUAUCAUUUUAAUCUUAUGGACCUACAAAAUAAAGAGUAUAAUUUUUGCCGAAAAAAGCACUGCGUAGAAACGGAAGCCCCCAAAACUUACAAAAUUGUGUUUUUUCUUCAAUUUUGUCGCACAAUGAUUUUUUUUUCCUGUUUUGCUGUAGAUUUUUGGGUAAAAUGACUGAUGUGAUAACAAAGUAGUAUUGGUGGCGCCAAAAAUUACCCAUCAUAUGGACUUUUAGGUGAAAAAUUGAAAGGGUUAGGAUUUUUAAAAGGUAAGGAGGAAAAAACGAAAGU